UCCCCUGCCACUCUUCAAACGUGCUAGUUCUGCAGACUUCCUGCCACCGCAGCCCCACACUGGUGCCGUCCACCUCACAGGUCUCUCCCCUGUAUGCCUCCAACAGGAAGUGAAUACUCUGGCAAUGCCUACAGCCACACCCCCUACUCCUCCUACAGCGAGGCCUGGCGCUUCCCCAACUCCAGCUUGCUGAGUUCCCCAUAUUAUUACAGUUCCACAUCAAGGCCAAGUGCACCACCCACCACCGCCACGGCCUUUGACCAUCUGUAGUUGCCAUGGGGACAGUGGGAGCGACUGAACGACAGGAGGACUUGGCCAGGGACAGGCCUCAGAGAGUCACACAAAGGAAUCUUUAUUUAUUACAUGAAAAAUAACCACAAUCCAGCAUUGCAACUCACUCCCUGUGUGGUUAAUUAAAUGAACCAUGAACGACAGGAUGACCUUGAAGAAGGCCAAACUGUCCUCCAAGACUGCUUAAUGAGGGACAGGAAUCCUGAGGAAAGAGAACCAUACCAUGCUGAAAAAGACAAAACUGGAGAAGAAAUGUGGCCCCCAGCUGGUGCCCAUCAAAGAAGAGAAGAGAGAGCAAUCCAGAAGCUUGGUGGGUCUGGGGGGUUGGCAAAUGAUGCCCACCUGGGCCUGAGGGGCGCAGAGGACACCUCAGUGACUCUGUCAGUCAACACAACUCUAAUAAUUAUGGACCAUAAGCACUUCCUUCCAGCCCACAAGUCACAGCCUAGUGCCCAGGCUUUCCCUGCCAGCCACCCUGGGAGUCAACUCCCUCAGCCUCCCGCCUACCCCAGACCCAAGGCUCUGGCUGUCCUCUUCAACUCUACUUGCUUGGCUCUCCCUACACCUCCCUCUUGGGCAUGGGCUGAGGGCUGGGUUUAAUCAAUCAGAAACUCCGCUGGGUUAUCAGCUGACCUUCCUUUUGCCUGCUGCUGUGAAUCCACAGCACCACCCCAACUUCUCUGCAGUGGAGCAUCUCUUGGACUGCUGUCAUCAGCCAGACCAGCCUCAGGCAGUUUGAGACAGACAUUCCAGAGGGCUGGGGCGCCUCUCAUGUGAGGUGAGGCUCUGCCCAGGGCAGAGAAAGGCAAAAUCGCAGGGGAACCUCUUUCCCUUCCUCACAGCUCCUGCCAAGCCAAGUGUGCUUCCUGCAGUUCAAGCCCACCAGCUACCGAAGAGACCCCGAGGCAACCCCUUGGAGGGAGAAGUUGGGGGGUCCUCUCUGACUCCCCCACAGCUCCUGCCCCCAAGGCCUGACUGUAUAUACUGUAAAUGAAACUCUGUUUGGGUCAAGCUUCCCUCUUUCCACUCCCAGACUUUGGCCUCUGAGUGAAUUGUCUCUCUGCCAUGUUGGGCUUCUCUCCUUGAUGCUUCUUUCUUUUUUAAAGACAACCCACCAUUGCCACAUGACUCAAUAAACCAUUACUCUUC